rnacentral:lncRNA from 1 species
CGUAUGUGUGAAUAUUUCAUUGGCAUGAGCACGAAAAUACAUUAUGUUUUCUGGAAAAUGAGAAAGUGGAUUUUAGCCAAACAGAAUUUGAAGAAAGAAAGAUUGUUUUACAGUUUUAGCUUGGAUGCUUGAAUUCGUUACUGGCUUAGUGGAGGAUACUCAAGAUGUUUAUACAGUUAUGAGAUAAGUGGGCGAAGGACGCAUUGGCGAGAAGCCCAAAGAGUAUGAAAGUUAUGAAAGUUAAGAGAGUGUCCUACUAAGCAGUAAUCGAAUGAAGGUAGCUCAAGUAAGUGGUUUGAAAGAGAAAGUGAAAGUUUGAGAAAGACAUAAUGAGAUUUCGAUGAUUUGUUUAUAUGCAAAGCUGGUUUACUUACUGAGUUUCGUGCUCAUUAUAGUUAUUGUGAUUCAAUUUCCGUAAAUCAGGAUUCAUUUGUGAUGAGUAUCGAGAAGGACUUGAAUGGAGGAAUUAGAUGGUUUGGCAUGAUUUUAAAUUCUUCCGCUGCAGUUUGCGUUGUAUAUUUGUAUUUGCGACGAUAUAUUUUUGAGGUAUCAGAGUAGCGCAGCGAAAGCGUGAUAUGAUUGGUUUUGAUCUUUAUAAGGAUUUAUAGAUCGUAAGUAAUUCUUGAGGUUUAGAUUCUGUGAGCAUGACCACAAGUGAAUUUCGAGGACGAAAUUCUUUGAAGGGGGGAAGUUUGUAAUACCCCGCACCCGAUUAUUUUUGACUCUCCACUUAUAUAAAUUGAGUGCGAUUAAAAGCUCAAGUAGUCGGAUUUUAUUUUUCGCCUCGGGUCCGGUAUUAGCUUAAUUUGUAUUAAGCUUAAGUUUAAAAAAAAAAAACGAAGAGAAAAAGAAAAAGAAGUCGGGUUUUAUAUAUGGAAAUGGGGGGAACUGUUAUGGAUUCACAAAGAAAGAGAGAGAAGGCACGAGAGAGAGAGUCUUUGACCCGUUUGACCCGACCCGACCCAACCCGAACCCGCGACUUGACCCGACGAGUUCUCCCGUUUCCGGCCACCUCACCGGCCGUGCUUGGUACCGAUUUGAAGCUUGAGAGAUGAGCAACGUAUCCAUGCCGUCCUUGCUGCCGGAAAACGAUCGGAAAGUCACCGAUCGAAGUGUUGAAGGUUCGCGGAAUCGCCGGCUUGAUUCGCCGUGAUUUCGCCAGAUUUGGGUGACACCACCGGUUGGAUUUUGUUCCUCAUGAUUCCCUCUUCCAUUUCCGACCAUCCAUAGGCACCGAGAGUCGUUGUUUUGCCGCCGGUCGAUUGUUGGAACUCACGGCGGUCGAGCUAGAUUCCGGCGUCGUUGCCGCGCGUCGGAGCUCACCGCCGGUACCAUUGAACUCAGCGUGAUUGGCACUUUAAGAUUUGAGCUUCCCGUCGCCGUCGGAUAAAUUCCGGUGACCGUUGACCGGCAAGGGCAUUUCGGUAAUUUCAUAACAUAAGGGCAAUGUUGUAAUUUCAGAUUUUGUGGGUAUUUUGGUAAUUGCUGUAAUUGAGGAUAAAGUUGGUAAUUUAUGAUUUUGAGGUUAAUUUGGUAAUUUUGAUAUGAGGGUAUUUUGGUAAUAUUGAAUUCAAGGGCAAAUCGGUAAUUCACAAAACCUAAGGGUGAAUAUGUAAUUUGUGGAAUCAGUGGAUAAAUUGGUAAUUUUAAGUUAGGGCAGUGAAGUAAUUUGAGAUUACGAUGGUAAUUCGGUAAUUUAAGUCGUUAAGGAUAUUUUGGUAAAUUUACGCUCCGAGGGUAAUUUCAUAAUUUUUGACAUUGCAGUUAUUUAUGUGAUCUGAAUUGAGGACCAUUUAGUAAUUGAAGAUUCUGAGGAUAAUUUGGUAAAAUAUUAAUGUUGGGAGCAUUUUGGUAAUUUUGGUAUGUAGGGGUAUUUCAGUAAUUUUGUACAUGCGGAAAUAGUUUAUUGUUGAUAGAUAUUCGUUUCGAGAUUUAUUAUAUUAAAUUGGUUGUAUUUCAAAGUUACGGAGAAUGAUUUUGGCGUUUCCUUGAUUAGGAGGAUUCGCGAACGAGAAUUAAUCCACGGACUUUGUUGACACCGAGUUUGGACAUUGUCACUGUGAGUGGAAUAUACAAAACCUAUUUUUAGAGUAUAUGUUGAUUUUAUGAUACAGUGCAGUAUGUUUUUAUAAAUAAGUAUUUGAUGCUCGAUUUAAUGCUUUUCUAGAAAAUUGAUUUUUUAUUUAUGUGUUGAUAUUUAUUGUUAUUGAGAAUGAGUUUGAUUAAUGAUUUUACUAUCGUUUUUUUAGUAAAGGCAUGAUAUUAGAAUUGAGCAGAUUUGAGAUAUGUUGAAUAGAAAGAAAAUGAGAUUUCAGAUGUGAUUAUAUGUUUAUAUACAUGAGUAUAAAUAUUGUUUUUGAAAACAUUAGACAGUACCCUUCCCUCCAGAUACAGAGAUACAGAUAUGAGAUAUAGAUCAGUUACAGAGAUACAGAGAUACAAAGAUACAGAUAUGAGAUACAGAUCAGUUACAGAGAUAUAGAGAUACAUAUAUGAGAUACAGAUCAAUUACAGAGAUACAGUGAUACAGAUAUGGGAUACAGAUCAGUUAUUGAGAUACAGUGAUACAGAUAUGAGAUACAGAGAGUUGAGAUACAGAUGAGAUACAGGCCUUUGGGGCCCGUCUGAGUACACACAGAGGCUUUGGGCCGUGUGCUUGGGCGCUUUUGUCCUUUGGGGACUAGAUUAUGCAUGCACAGAUAUGAUGAGAUAUGAGAUAGUAUUUCCCUGUCUAUCCGUUGUAGCUCCGGGGCAUGACGUUACCCAGAUAGUGCGUCAUUGCCCGUCCGUUGAGGUCCGGAUAUGACGAGAUUUCCCUGGGUACUUGUUUGAUGAUAGUUUUGGUAUUCAGUAUUUGAUAUAAUAAGUAUUAUGUUUCCAUUGAUUUUAUGCAGAUUUACGUAAUAUAGUAUUUCAGUGACUGAUUUGAAUUAAAUAAGUUUAUGUAAGUUCUUAUGAUAUUCUGAUGAAAUUGAUUUGAGAAAUUGAUGAUUUGAGAAAUUGAUUUGAAAAAGAUUAAAUUAUUUUUUAAAAGAAUUGAUUUUUAAAAUUAUUAUCCACUCACUGAGUUCACUGAGUUUUAUACUCAUUCCGCUUUUAUUAUAUUUUCUCCCCCCCAGGAGACUUGCAGGUACAUCAGUCGACUCAGUAACGAUAGUUAGAUUUGAAAUUGUGGCCACGUAAUGGUGCUAGAAGUCGUAGAUUUAAUUAUUUUAAUUAUUUGGGAUAUUGCGAAUUGUAUUUAUUUAUUAUAUUUUGUAAUUAAGGAUUACCAGUGUAUUUUAUUAUUAGAAGGGUUUGGGUGAAAUUUGAGGUGUUGACUUGAGAAGUUGGUUAUGAAGGAUGGUUGGAUAUCAAAUUAUUUUGGGAGUGUUGAUUUGUAAUUUGCAGGAUUGGAUAUGUUUUAAUUAUAAGGGAGACUCUGCCGAAAUUUUUAUAGAAUAGUUUCGAUUUUACGAGUUUAGAUAGACUGGUCCUAGGGAGUUGCGGGGCGGGUUGUUUUAGUUGGUAUCAGAGCCAGGUUUUAGAUUCUGUAGACUUUACUGUCGUAAAUAGAAUAAGUUUUGAUUAUUAAAGUCGGAAUUGAUAUUUUGUGGGCGCCAUUCGGAUUUAUUGUAGCCGUGGAUGUGAUCGUGGCCGUACUAGACUAGUAGCUGGGUUGACUCCAGCAGAUGUACUGUACACCUUGAGGGAUCAUUACUUAUGACAGCGUAUGAAGAGAGAGAUAGUAUAAUGUUUGUCAGCAGAUUAAGGCUGUGUAUCAGAGGCCUGCUGAGUUAUCGCAGAUGUUUUUGUUUAUUAUUGAGUGAAAGUGGAAACACAUCACUAUGGACAAGUUAGGAAGUAUUUAUAUGGCUGGAAUAAUUUGAUUUUAUGGAGUACUUGUAUUUAUUGUCUCAUAU